AGAGUUUGAUCCUGGCUCAGAUUGAACGCUGGCGGAAUGCUUUACACAUGCAAGUCGAACGGCAGCACGGACUUCGGUCUGGUGGCGAGUGGCGAACGGGUGAGUAAUGUAUCGGAACGUGCCCAGUCGUGGGGGAUAACGUAGUGAAAAUUACGCUAAUACCGCAUACGAUCUAUGGAUGAAAGCGGGGGAUCGCAAGACCUCGCGCGAUUGGAGCGGCCGAUAUCAGAUUAGGUAGUUGGUGGGGUAAAGGCCCACCAAGCCAACGAUCUGUAGCUGGUCUGAGAGGACGACCAGCCACACUGGAACUGAGACACGGUCCAGACUCCUACGGGAGGCAGCAGUGGGGAAUUUUGGACAAUGGGCGCAAGCCUGAUCCAGCCAUUCCGCGUGCAGGACGAAGGCCUUCGGGUUGUAAACUGCUUUUGUACAGAACGAAAAGCCUUGGGUUAAUACCCUGGGGUCAUGACGGUACUGUAAGAAUAAGCACCGGCUAACUACGUGCCAGCAGCCGCGGUAAU
rnacentral:rRNA from 1 species